UACGGAGGGUGCAAGCGUUAAUCGGAAUUACUGGGCGUAAAGGGUGCGUAGGCGGUGCGUUAAGUCUGUCGUGAAAUCCCCGGGCUCAACCUGGGAAUGGCGAUGGAUACUGGCGAGCUAGAGUGUGUCAGAGGAUGGUGGAAUUCCCGGUGUAGCGGUGAAAUGCGUAGAGAUCGGGAGGAACAUCAGUGGCGAAGGCGGCCAUCUGGGACAACACUGACGCUGAAGCACGAAAGCGUGGGGAGCAAACAGG
rnacentral:rRNA from 1 species